AUGGGACCUUCUUUCAACGCUGGCAAAAGAUUGGAUAUCUGCGCCAUCCCCAAUGUGUCUAGUGGUCAACGGCAGCGUCGAAAGCUCACAACAGGAUUCAAUAAUGCGUUCCCAUCCACCAGUCCAGACGGAAAGAGAUUAGUUUUUCGAUCUACAAGAGAUGGAGGGGAAAAUAAAUACAAGAAUCUAUACAUAAUGGAGGAUGCAGAAGUAGGGGAAUAUGGGAAUGGCAAAAUAACAAGGCUAACAAAUGGGCCUUGGACCGACACACAUUGCCAAUGGUCCCCAACUGGAGAUUGGAUAGUAUUCUCAUCAACCCGCGAUAAGCCUAAAGAUGCACCAGAAACUGACAAUGAUCUCGACCCAGGAUACUUUGCAGUGUUUUUAGUAAAGGCCAACGAUCCAUCAGUUGUGGUAAGAGUGAUAAAAAGUGGAGAUGAUCU
rnacentral:misc_RNA from 1 species